AACGAACGCUGGCGGCAUGCCUAACACAUGCAAGUCGAACGAGACCUUCGGGUCUAGUGGCGCACGGGUGCGUAACGCGUGGGAACCUGCCCUUAGGUUCGGAAUAACUCCCCGAAAGGGGUGCUAAUACCGGAUAAUGUCUUCGGACCAAAGAUUUAUCGCCUUUGGAUGGGCCCGCGUUGGACUAGCUUGUUGGUAGGGUAAAAGCCUACCAAGGCGACGAUCCAUAGCUGGUCUGAGAGGAUGAUCAGCCACACUGGGACUGAGACACGGCCCAGACUCCUACGGGAGGCAGCAGUGGGGAAUAUUGGACAAUGGGCGAAAGCCUGAUCCAGCAAUGCCGCGUGAGUGAUGAAGGCCUUAGGGUUGUAAAGCUCUUUUACCCGGGAUGAUAAUGACAGUACCGGGAGAAUAAGCUCCGGCUAACUCCGUG
rnacentral:rRNA from 1 species